rnacentral:misc_RNA from 1 species
AAGUCGUAACAAGGUUUCCGUAGGUGAACCUGCGGAAGGAUCAUCAAAAGUCCAAAACCUAGGUUCGUUGUUGUUUUCAACGGCGAGCCAAACACUUGUGAACCGUUGUCUGUUAUGGUUGACUGGGGGGCUUACUGUGCCGUAAGGUGCGACCCCCAGCCGCCGUCAGGUCUACCAAACAUUUAGUAACCAAAAUCUAAAGUUGUUUUUGUUGUCGAAAGGCACACAGAAUGAAUACAACUUGUAGCGAUGGAUCUCUAGGCUCUG